rnacentral:snoRNA from 1 species
GAAAUCAUACUAUACAGAAUCAUUUCUGUAGUGUGUAUUUCGCAAUCCCAACCAAAAAGCGACACCUGUCCACCGCGAUGAACGGGAGAC